rnacentral:rRNA from 1 species
GAUGAACGCUGGCGGCGUGCCUAAUACAUGCAAGUCGAGCGAACGGACGAGAAGCUUGCUUCUCUGAUGUUAGCGGCGGACGGGUGAGUAACACGUGGAUAACCUACCUAUAAGACUGGGAUAACUUCGGGAAACCGGAGCUAAUACCGGAUAAUAUUUUGAACCGCAUGGUUCAAAAGUGAAAGACGGUCUUGCUGUCACUUAUAGAUGGAUCCGCGCUGCAUUAGCUAGUUGGUAAGGUAACGGCUUACCAAGGCAACGAUGCAUAGCCGACCUGAGAGGGUGAUAGGCCACACUGGAAAUGAGACACGGUCCAGACUCCUACGGGAGGCAGCAGUAGGGAAUCUUCCGCAAUGGGCGAAAGCCUGACGGAGCAACGCCGCGUGAGUGAUGAAGGUCUUCGGAUCGUAAAACUCUGUUAUUAGGGAAGAACAUAUGUGUAAGUAACUGUGCACAUCUUGACGGUACCUAAUCAGAAAGCCACGGCUAACUACGUG